UACGGGGGGGGCAAGCGUUGUCCGGAAUUAUUGGGCGUAAAGAGCUCGUAGGCGGUUUGUCGCGUCUGCUGUGAAAACCUAAGGCUCAACCUUGGGCUUGCAGUGGGUACGGGCAGACUAGAGUGCGGUAGGGGUGACUGGAAUUCCUGGUGUAGCGGUGGAAUGCUGCAGAUAUCAGGAGGAACACCGAUGGCGAAGGCAGGUCACUGGGC
rnacentral:rRNA from 1 species